CAGAGGUGCAGUGUUACGUGAAUUACUGGGCGUAAAGCGUGCGUAGUCGGUUAUCUAAGUCGGGUGUGAAAUCCCCGGGCUCAACCUGGGAAUUGCAUUGAUACUGGAUAGCUAGAGUUCGGCAGAGGGAAGCGGAAUUUCGGGUGUAGCGGUGAAAUGCGUAGAUAUCCGAAGGAACAUCAGUGGCGAAAGCGGCUUCCUGGACCAGAACUGACGAUCAGGCACGAAAGCGUGGGGAGCAAACAGG
rnacentral:rRNA from 1 species